rnacentral:rRNA from 1 species
AACGAACGCUGGCGGCAGGCCUAAAACAUGCAAGUCGAACGGGUGUAGCAAUACAUCAGUGGCGCACGGGUGAGUAACGCGUGGGAACGUGCCCUUCAGUACGGGACAACGUCGGGAAACUGACGCUAAUACCGUAUAAUAUCUCCGGAUCAAAGAUUUAUCGCUGAAGGAGCGGCCCGCGUCUGAUUAGCUAGUUGGUGGGGUAAUGGCCUACCAAGGCUACGAUCAGUAGCUGGUCUGGGAGGAUGAUCAGCCACACUGGGACUGAGACACGGCCCAGACUCCCACGGGAGGCAGCAGUUAGGAAUAUUGGACAAUGGGCGAAAGCCUGAUCCAGCCAUGCCGCGUGUGUGAUGAAGGCCCUAGGGUUGUAAAGCACUUUCGUUGGGGAUGAUAAUGACCGUACCCAAAGAAGAAGCCACGGCUAAAUUCGUGCCAGCCGCCGCCGUAA